GAGCUUGCUUCGGCAGCACUCAUGCUAACAUUGGAGCAAUAUAGAGAUUAGCAUGGCCCCUGCACAAAGAUAACACGCAAAAUCGUGAAGUGUCCCAUAUUUUU